rnacentral:rRNA from 1 species
AUUGAACGCUGGCGGCAGGCCUAACAAAUGCAAGUCGAGCGAGCGGCGGACGGGUGAGUAAUGUCUGGGAAACUGACUGAUGGCGGGGGAUAACUACUGGAAAAGGUAGCUAAUACCGCAUACCAUCAGAAGUGCCCAGAUGGGAUUAGCUGGUAUGUGGGGUAACGGCUAUCCUAGGGGACGAUCCCUAGCUGGUCUGAGAGGAUGACCAGCCACACUGGAACUGAGACACGGUCCAGACGCCUACGGGAGGCAGCAGUGGGUAAUAUUGCACAAUGGGCGCAAGCCUGAUGCAGCCAUGCCGCGGGUGUGAAGAAGGCCUUCGGGUUGUAAAGCACUUUCAGCGGGGAGGCGUUACCCGCAGAAGAAGCACCGGCUAACUCCGUGCCAGCAGCCGCGGUAAUAC